UGAUUCUAAUGUUUACUUGACCAUUCUAGAUCUGAAAGAUGCUUUCUUUUGCAUUUCCUUGGAAGAGCAAAGCCAGAAAUUGUUUGCUUUUGCAUGGGAAAGCCCAAUAACAGAGACAAAGACCCAGCAGUGUUGGAUGGUGUUUCCCCAAGGAUUCAAGAACAGCCCUACACUGUUUGGUAAUGUACUGGCUAAAGAAUCGGAACAAUGGCAAGGUAUGUGCAAUUAGGAACUCCUGGAUGUGCCCAUACAUUCCUUCAAACCAUGGGACCAAGUGUAUCUCCAAACCUCUGGUUGAGAAGUGAAAAGAAUCUUAUCUGAUACUUCCUAACAACAGAUACUGCAGUAAAAGUAAAGGAUUGAGUCCUGAAUUCAUUACACCAGGACAAAAACAUGUCCAUGUGAGAAGUGGAGAAGUGAAGAAUUUCCUAAAGCCAAAGAUCAAGAGAAAUGCAUAAACUGCACCCAGAAUAGAUUGGGUGCUUAUUUAGGACUAGGUUGUACUCUGGGGAUAUUACUCUUUGCUUUUGUAACUUUGAUUUUACUCAUUCUAUAUUUCACAUGUUUUUUACAGGUGUCUUGUUGGUAAUUUUAGCCUCUGUCUGUUUAUAUGUUGUAUUGCAGUGUAUAGACAAGUGUUGCUGGAUGUCGGUGAACAAAACCUCAGAGAAAAUGAGACUAAUCUAGACUGCACUGUUAGAUAUGUUUCCAAGGGGGGAAUUGUUGUGAGUCAAGUGGGAAUUAAUCUUUGUACGAGUCUUUGUAUGGGUACCCUUCAGAUUCAGCAAAGACAUCAUGUAGUAAUACGCAGAUUGGGUAACCAGUCAUAGAGCUGGAGGCUGCAUUGGAAUGGUGAUCAAGUGAUAAGAUUAUGUAUAAAAAACAUCAUGGAAAAUCCCUGUGGAUGCUAGCUUUGUGGGAGACCUCCUAGCACCCAAAUUUGUGCAGCUCUGUGAUAAACAAAG
rnacentral:lncRNA from 1 species